rnacentral:tRNA from 1 species
UCCCUGGUGGUCUAGUGGUUAAGGAUUUAGCAUUGGGACUGCUGUGGCUCUGGUUCAAGCCCUGGCGGGGGAA